AUUGAACGCUGGCGGAAUGCUUUACACAUGCAAGUCGAGCGGCAGCGCGGGGGCAACCCUGGCGGCGAGCGGCGAACGGGUGAGUAACAUAUCGGAACGUACCCCGUCGUGGGGGAUAACACAGCGAAAGCUGUGCUAAUACCGCAUACGACCUGAGGGUGAAAGCGGGGGAUCGCAAGACCUCGCGCGAUGGGAGCGGCCGAUAUCGGAUUAGCUUGUUGGUGAGGUAAAGGCUCACCAAGGCGACGAUCCGUAGCUGGUCUGAGAGGACGACCAGCCACACUGGAACUGAGACACGGUCCAGACUCCUACGGGAGGCAGCAGUGGGGAAUUUUGGACAAUGGGGGCAACCCUGAUCCAGCCAUUCCGCGUGAGUGAAGAAGGCCUCGGUUGUAAAGCUCUUUCUAGCAGGAACGAAACGGUGGCCGACUAAUACUGGCUACUAAUGACGGUACCUGAAGAAGAAGACACCGGCUAACUACGUGCCAGCAG
rnacentral:rRNA from 1 species